GAUCCUGGCUCAGGAUGAACGCUGGCGGCGUGCCUAAUACAUGCAAGUAGAACGCUGAAGGAAGGAGCUUGCUCUUUCCGGAUGAGUUGCGAACGGGUGAGUAACGCGUAGGUAACCUGCCUGGUAGCGGGGGAUAACUAUUGGAAACGAUAGCUAAUACCGCAUAACAGUAGAUGUUGCAUGACAUUUACUUUGAAGGUAGGCAAUUGCACCCACCUACCCACGAAUGGACCUGCGUUG
rnacentral:rRNA from 1 species